rnacentral:rRNA from 1 species
GUAGUCAUAUGCUUGUCUCAAAGAUUAAGCCAUGCAUGUCUAAGUAUAAGCAAUUAUACCGCGAAACUGCGAAUGGCUCAUUAUAUGAGUUAUCGUUUAUUUGAUAGCACAUUACUACUUGGAUAACCGUGGUAAUUCUAGAGCUAAUACAUGCUAAAAAUCCCGACUUCGGAAGGGAUGUAUUUAUUAGAUUAAAAGCCAACGCCCUUCGGGGCUCUCUGGUGAUUCAUAACAACUGGUCGAAUCGCAUGGCCUUGCGCCGGCGAUGGUUCAUUCAUAUUUCUUCCCUAUCAACUUUCGAUGCGAGGGUCCUGUCCUCGCAUGGUUGCAACGGGUAACGGGGAAU